UAAACGACGAUUCAUUUUGAAAUAUUUUGGAUUCCCUUUAUCCCGUAGCCGAUUACCAGGAGGUCUUCCGAAAUAAAGUGUCUGGCGGUGAGAAGUAUUUUUCUGCUUAAAAUUACGUCAAAUCCAAAAAUCAAAAAAGGUAUUAAUAUAGAUGAAAAAAGGUAAUGAUCGAACGACUAAUUUUGAUUUCCAGCAAUAUGACGGCUUUCCAAAAAAAGCAUAUUAAAUUGAGCGGUUCAGCCGUUUCGGAGACAUUUUUCCUCAUCCACUCUAAAAAGAGCGUUUCGAGAAAAACGCGUUUAAAGUUUUGGCAGCCGAUUACACUAAGUUAAGAAAUUCUUACAAAUAUGAACAUAGGUAUCUCCGAAAUUUUCUUUCCGGACAAACUUCUAAGUUUUGCAAAAUAUUUUUAAAUAUAUAUAUAAAUGAUGAUGGUGAUAUUAAUCAAUGAUCUCCAAGACCAUGGUAACCAAUGCCGCUGCAAACAAAUGAGAGGAUAAAUUAAGUUAACCUCUCCCCUCUCUUCUCUGUGAGUGAUACGUUCAACAACGAGCUCAAAUAAAGCAAACAUUAUCAUAAUUGUUUGUACUGCUGAUAAAGAUUUUCAUAAAUUUACCGGCUUUCAUCGACCCAAUUCAACUGUAAGUGACUUUAAGAUCCAUAGCUACUUCGGCAAUGCCUACAUAUACAAAAUUCAGAAUAGACCUACGAUUUAAAAGAACCAAUAAAUCUUAAACAAAAUCAUUGAUCUCCCAAGACUCCACCAAUAAUUUCAAUCCUUGAAAGAAAGAUUCCACUAUUAAUUUCUAAUCCUUGAAAGAAAAAUUCCACCAUUAAUUUCUAAUUCUUGAAAGCAUGUGUUUAACCUAACUUCUCUAGAAAGGUAUAGUGUGAGUCUUGUCUACUAAUAUUAAUGUUAGAAAUGUACACAUAAGUAGUGAAGAUCGCUACUUACUACUAUGGGAAUUAUAUUUAAAACAGUUCUUCAAUAAUUUAGACAAAAGAAAAGUUAUUUAUGAAUGCCUGAGGGUCUAUCAAAGCAGCCUAAGUCGGCGAGACAUGGUACUAUAUGUUAAUUGAACAUUUGUAGCUCUCUCUACGGCUUGAAAUGUAGACGAAAGGUGGAACAACCCAUACUCAAGUGUUGGAAAAUGUCCCAAACUUGUUUACGUUUUUAUAGUCAUACGGCUACAUAUAUAUAGGACAUCGUUUAUAGAAAAUAUGGUAAUUCAUCCUUUCCAAAAACUUAUUUCCAAUCAACGGCUGUGUUCUUGAAGUCAAAGAUACCAGGAGAGGACCAGUUUAAUGUGAAAAUCAAGCUUGCUGUUCCGUAAAGCGAAGGCAAGGACUUGUGAGCUCAUUGAUCGGCGUAACGAUCUCUUUGUUGGCUAAGUUCAUAACAUUGGAGCGACCAUUUAACGGCGAUAGAUUUUUGUGGGGUAUCGAAAAGAACUAAUGUUAUGUGAACAAUGCAUUAGCGACUCAGGCCCAAACUGGCGAAAGGCAGGUAAGUACAUGCAGUCAGAAAUGAUCACCAUAGUGUUGGUCAAGACAAAUGUGAAAUCAUUCGAAUAAAGCAAAAAGUAAUAAUAUAUCAAACCAAUCCUAUUUGUGUUAUUAUUUGCUUUGCUAGAUCUUUUUAGAGGAAAACCGCAUGAAUCACCCUUCACUUACAUACAUAUAAGAAAUAUAUAGUUAAUGAAAUUUCCGCAGGUCUUAAUUUUUAAUAAUGUGGCUAUAAAAGUCACUAUACAUAUUAUAUACCAAAUAUAUGUAUGUAUGUAUAUAUGCAAUAUUAAGCCCUGAUGCACUAAAUAAUUACCUUUUCAACCUUUACAUACUUCAUUCAAGCUUUUUUAUUAACUUUCAGUGGAAAAGAUGGUGGGCAAGUCGAUGUUGCCAUCUCGUAUUCAUUGUCUCAUGAAAAGGACAACGAAAUAAGGAUGGCAGUAUUGAACGCAUUUAUAAAAAAAAAUCCACUACAUGCGAGUACAUAUACGCACGAUGAAAACCGGUUCGCCAAUACAACAAUGAAUCGAAAGUCAAAUGGAGUAAAUGCAUCGAGAAAAAAAUUCGCAGACAAAGAAUUUAUUAUACCUUUUGUAUAUAUGUAUACUUCUACACUAUUUACUAUAUAAUGCUAUCCGAAGUAUGUAUGUAUAUGUGAAGCACCUAAAUGGUGCUCUUGGCAAAUGGCUUAUGAAGCAGAUGAUGAAAAGGAAGCCCUCAUGUGGACAUUGUGCAGAUUUUAUAUGUGAAACGCAACAGCGCUGAAGAAUAUAAAUACAAAUUGGCUUGAGACGAUUUCGUUUUCUUUUAUGCAUAUGCUUAUGUAUUCAUUAUACUCUACUGAUGCCAUAAGAGAGUACACAUAUAGAGGAAGCGAUUGCGAAAGAAGGUUCAACGCACAGCUGUUGAAAGUAAAAAGCACCAUAAUUAUUCAGUAUUGGAAACUUGAUGCGGGGCAUGAUCAUUUGAUUCGGUGGUAGGGUCUUUGAAGAGAUCAAGAGUGGGUUGAAAGUAGUCAAAUGAGUGGCCAAAUACUUUAUUGGCAAAGUAUCGGAUAUAAGAAACAUGUUCAUAAAUUUCUAAGAAGCCCAAGAAAUUAUAACAUAUAAGCUUCGAAUAGACCAUUAAAAAUUCCAAAUUUCCUUUCAAGUUUGACAGUGAUUAUUAUCUACUUUCUGUUUCUAAGUUUACGACGUUGCUUCGAAACGCAUGGUUUCGUUAAUUGCUGAAGCAUAUAUUUAUUUUGACAUAUAAAUUUCCCUGUUACUUCUUACAAAAUCCCGACCCUGCUCAUAUUUACUUGUUGUUCUGAAGGGGCUUGAAAGUUGUAUGCCGAAUAUGAACGUCUGAAGUAAUUUACGAGAAUUUAUUUAUUGUUAUCAGAAACCCAUACUAAGGCUUGACUUUAUCUAUCAACACAAUUAGAAAAGAUUUCUAAACCCACUGGACUAUGAAGCCCAAUCGAAGAAAUGAUAUUGCGGCUUAGUAUAUAUAGCAGUAUUUAUCAAUAAAUUUCCUUUGUGGAGCCCUAUGGAUUUCAGAGUAAUUUAUCUAAUGGAGACAAGAAACGCUUGCCACUUUUAGGAAAUAUUGAACUAAAUAACAUCACAACAGUAAGUUCUCAUAUUCGGAAAAGAAUAAACUAUAACCAGAAAGAUGUAAGGUAGGGCUCUCCGAACGCUCAGCCUACAACCGAUUGAAAUGGAAUAUGGAAUAUUCUAUUUGGUUCCAAGUUUUCCAAUCUAAUCGAGAUCGGUCUAAGUCUAAUAAUUACUUAAGUACGACCUCAAAUCAACCAGUGACGCUCGCUUCAAUUUUUUGUAGCAUUUUUUACAAAAUCCGGAACUUUUUAUGUUGGGCUGGACCAAAAAGAUUCGAAAAGAAAAUAUGGUGAUAUGGAAAUAGUGGUCCAAAUAGCCAUUACCGCAAGACUUUCUUGCAGUCAUUCGCCUUUUCAUCUACCCAACAUGCGGGGGGAAAUAAUUUUCCAUACAUCACACUCGCAAUGAAAAAAACAAAAACUUUUCGAGCUUGGUAUUCCGAAAAUUUUAACAUUUGUUCCGUGGGUGUCUGUGUUAUCGGAAUCAAUUAUUAUAGCAUCAAUCCACGAAGGCGGUAGCAUACCCUAGCACUUUCGUCUUUCUUCUCUUGAAAAAACAUACCUACAGAAAAACCUAUCAACUGAACGAAGCGGCAACAUAGAAAGACGGACACAGUGUAGAACGCCACAAAGAACACUGUGAGGCCGAGAAAGAUGCGCGCCAACCAACUGAUUGAAUUGGUAACCACAUAAAUGGACGCAUCUACAUUGCGCUAUUUUUAAAUAAUAAAAUAAAAGUCGAACGCAACACAAAACACAAGAAACUUUAGAACAUUUUCAAACGAAAACAACAACAACUAGAAUAAAACAAAAACAAAUACAAGACAUAAAGCGCUAAGAAGCACUCAUAAUGAACGCGCAUAUGAAGAGCAACAAAAAAAAAAUGGUGAAAUGAGCAACGGACAGAGCAAAUGCCGCCAACAACAACAACUACGAGUAUAACAACAACGUGCACGAAACGGACGAAGUCAUGUUGUUGAACUGAGGCAUCAUUUGGAGCAAAGCAACAGCGAUAAAUAAGCGAACGUGAGGUGGAAGAUUUAUUAUACAUACAAAACGAUAGAUACCUAUAUAUGUAUGUAUGGAAGUGUAUAUACAUACCACACGUGUUUGUGUGCAUGCAAAAGUGAUUAGUUAACUUUUCAAAUGUUACCGGCAAAAGUCGACCUUGAAUCAUUGAAGCUAUACCGCAUAAUUAUUAAGUGGAAUCUAUGGGCUUUUGGCAAAAUUUGAAGAGAGUCUUCUUUUUUCUAUAAUAGUCUUUUUUCUUCUUCGACAGCAUAUGGUUAUAACUGCUGAUUAGUUAUUGGGUAUCGCCAUAAUUCGGAAACUCGUAAUAAUAGAUCUAACACUAGGCGCAAAUACUGAUCAUAUGUACCAUAUACUGCGUCUUCUACAUAAAUAUCUAUUUAAUAUGUGUAGCACUCAUCUUCAGCACAUUUACUGCAAUGAAAUUAAUGAUCACCUGCCCGACAGCUGUGCGUUUACAGUGUGCGACAGAUAAGUAGUCGCUUAAGGGGUUAUAUCCACUUGCAAAUCAGAAAAAAA